AUAUAGUUAAGCUAGAAUACUAUCGAUAGCAAACGGGCUCCGUUGCCACCAAUUUGUUUUCGAUGAUAGAGCCUCCAAAUCGAGGAUCGGCAUCGUUGAACAUAAUCUAUACCACUUGAAGUGUUUAGAAAUCAAAUUUCAUAUAUUUUCGACAUUGUUCUCUUAUGUAUCGAGUGGGCACAAAAAUGAACGGUUGAAAAUGAAUAUUCUUUAAAAAAUGAUGAUAGGAGUCUUGUAAUCAAGAUCAAGAGUAUAGAUCUUAUUUUAAAUAGUUUAAAGAAUUUUCCUACAAAUAUUCAAUUGAUUUGGAUAUCUUAACGCCGUUAAACAAGAAAACGCCUCAUGUCGACCAUUAAAAUUACAAAUUUCGAAACCCCUUGAUCAUUAGGUAAAUGAUGUCGAAAAGAUUUGAAAUUUGAUUUCUAAAUACUUCAAAUGGUAUAGAUAAUGUUCAACGGUGCCGAUCGUUGAUUUGGAGACUCUAUCAUCAAACAAAUGGAUGGCAACGGAGUCCGUUUGCUAUCGAUAGUAUUCUAGCUCAACUCUCUCUCUCUCUCUCUCUCUCUCUCUCUCUCUCUAUAUAUAUAUAUAUAUAUAUAUUUGAUGUUAUAUUUGAAUUUGUAUUUUAAAAAUUUAAAUUUAAUAUAAUAUAUUUUGAAAUAUUGAAAAAAGAAAUAACUGCUUCGGGUUCAAAUUUUCGGGUUCAGGUUCAAAUUUUUGGGUUCGGGUUCGGAUUCGGAUUUCGAAUUUUUUGUCGGGUUCGGGUUUGGAUAUGGAUUUUUAAAAUCCGUCGGAUUCGGGUUCGGGUUCGGGUUUGGGUUCGGGUCUUGGGUUCGAAUUCGGAUUUUUGAAAAUCCGCCCUGAAUCUGAUCUGUUGACAUUUCUAAGUUUGUGAAAAUUCUAGAAUAUAUCAAUUAUAUUAGUGACGAAACGUUCUCAAUCAAUAAAAUAAAUUUUUUAAUUUAUUUGUCCCAUCAUGAUUAUAAAAAAAAUAUUUUUAUUAUAUAUAUUUUUAAAUAAAGAGAUGCGAUUAACUUGUUAUUGAUGAUGUGGUACAAGUAUAAUACCGGAGAUUUCCACGUGCACACCGGGGAAGUGCUGGUGGGGAAGGGCAGAGAGAGGGGUGUGUGUGUGGAUGGGGAGAAGAGAGAGAAAGAGAGAGAGAGUUGGAGAGAGAUAGAAAAAGAGAGAAAAGAAUCUCUCUUAAUUUAAUAAAAUGAGGCUACAUUAGGAGUUUUUUUGAAAAGAGGCAAGAUUGAAUUUUAUUUAUUUAUUUAUUUAUUUUUAUUUAAUGAGGCUAGGUAUGAGUUGUAUGACAUUAGUUUUG
rnacentral:lncRNA from 1 species